rnacentral:lncRNA from 1 species
AGGAUGGCUCCAGGUAAAAGCCAGAAUUAGAAAGUGCCCAUGAGCAGCGUGUGUCAAGAAUAUGAACGUGAGAUGUCAUUUUGGCUGCGUCUAAUUGAAGCCAGGAUAAAUGGAGUGGAAAGGCAGCGUCUAAUCCAAUCAAAACAUGAAAAAGUGAUACCGUAUCUCGUGGUGUUCAAACACGCCUGGUGUCAGCUCCCGCUUUGUAAAUGCUACAGCAGUUCCACUCUCGGCUUGGUGAUUACACUGGAGCGAAAAGCUUCAAGAUCACCUGGCCAGGCCCCUGGAUUUACGGGUGAGAAAAAUGACAGCAACCAGGUAAAAAGAUUUCUCCAGGUCUCUCUGUUCCUUGGAGGCAGAAACAGAACUAUAUUCCCCAGGGCACCAACCAGGGGACACCAGGAUCCUGGCAGCCCCUACCCCAGAGCCCCAGGGGUGACAUUCUAGAGCCAAUGCAUUGUCUUUGGGGCCACCGAUGGAGCAGAAGUGAGGUGUCUCUGAGGAAGUCACUGAAGGCUGGGCCAGGGGAGCAACAUAUCACGGAGCAGCGCAUAAAACUGAAAGUCACCAUUGAACAGUGUUGGCUUCUUCUAAGAGGCCCCUGAUUUCUUAAAAUGCUUUCUUCAAAAGACCAUCUUUUGUUAAAGGGUUUAUUCACACUUAGAGUGGUAGAGUGGAGCAAGAAUAGGAAUUGGGUUCAGAAAGACAGAAGUUCUCAUCUUGGAUGUGCUACAUUCUAGUUCUUGACCUUGGGCACAUCACUGGGCCUGCCUUGCUCGGCCUCAGGAUGCUCACCUGUAGAACAGAGGUAAUAAUUCCUUAUCUGCUCUUGGGACAAAUGCAAGCAGACUUCAUUCCCUGGACAUAGAGCACUUUAAAAACGAAAUAGCCACAACUAGAAUAUGAAAUUUAAAGUCAAGAACUCUGGAUCCGUGUCCCUGUUCUACCACUCAGUAGCCCUCUGAACUCAAUCUCCCCUUCUUUUUUUAAAUUUUAUUGUUUUUUAUUUUAUUGCGGUCAUAAUAGUUUAUAACAUUGUGCAAUUUUGGUU